CAGCUGUGAAUGUAUCAUAAUGCUGGAACAAAAAGCUUUUGUCAGGCUUUUAACAACAUCACCAUCACCAGCACUGGGCCCGGGUCCAGAUGACGAAUCAUACACAGAUGGAAGUUUAAGUACUCUCUCAUUAGAGAUAGGAGUCCAUUGUAUCCGGGCCGGGCUGAAGUCUAAGGAGUGGGCUGUCUCUGGAAGCUGCAUUGCCAUAAUUGAAGUUGGUGUCAGCUUCAUAGCUUUUCACUGUGUCCUUUCUUCCAGACCCCAGGGGCCAAAAGUUUUGGAAUUCCCACUUUAAUGGUGAAAUAUUAUUGCCCGAAACCAUCAUUUGGAAUUCAAUUAUGAGAAGUAGCCGGAACCACACAACCUAAAGAGGUCCGUCAUUUUAAGGUGUCAUCCAUCUCCCCCAUUCUGCCUGCCCUGACCCUGAGCCUGCCAUUCUGUACCUUGUAACACCACACUGGAUUAUUGACCUCUGCCUGCCCUGACCCAGAGCCUGCCUGCCGUUCUGUACCUUUUGGACUCUGAUCUGGAUUACUGACCUCUGUCUGCCCUUGACCUGUCGUUUCGCCUUCCCCCUGUUCUGGUAAUAAACUUUUGUUACCUCGGCACUGUCUGUAAUCUGGGUCUUCACCAAAACGUGAUACUAAGGCUGUUUUUUAAAGGAAGAAACUUCUAUCAAAGUUGUCUGUAAUUGUCUCUAACCUCCUACAAUAAGCGUUCAAUUCCACAUGCUUUGAAAUCAGCAUUAUACUGUACUGGACUGGCAUCAUGUGUAGUAUAUAUGUGGAAUAACAGUGCCAAUGUGUAUAUGUGGAGUGUGUAUAUAUGUGGAAUAACAGUGCCAAUGUGUAUAUGUGGAGUGUGUAUAUAUGUGGAAUAACAGUGCCAAUGUGUAUAUGUGGAGUGUGUAUAUAUGUGGAAUAACAGUGCCAAUGUGUAUAUGUGGAGUGUGUAUAUAUGUGGAAUAACAGUGCCAAUGUGUAUAUGUGGAAUAACAGUGCCAAUGUGUAUAUGUGGAGUGUGUAUAUAUGUGGAAUAACAGUGCCAAUGUGUAUAUGUGGAGUGUGUAUAUAUGUGGAAUAACAGUGCCAAUGUGUAUAUGUGGAGUGUGUAUAUAUGUGGAAUAACAGUGCCUGUCCUCUCCCUCCCUCCUCCACUGAGAAAAGAGGACACAAUUUUCCAGCUGAAGACGAAACUUAAGUCGCAUUGCAUUUGGCCUCAUGCACCAAUUCAUGUUGUUACUCCUGUGACCAGAGAAAGUGAAAUAUUCCUUGCAGCUAAUAAUAACAACGCAAGCACGUUAUCGAAACACUGUACUAUACUCAUUCAUUGCAGCUACAGUGCUGGUGGUAGCGUGAGUGGAAGGAGGACGCCAUUGUAUGGCUUAUCAAAGUGUUGAACAAAGUGUUGACAGUGCUGAAUAACUUAGAAAUUAAACUCACUCGUA